rnacentral:misc_RNA from 1 species
GCCUGCUUGUGAAUCGGGAUGGGCUGUUGGAGCGUGAGAGGGAGUCUAUGCAUGACAUAAGGACAUUUGCAUACAUAAGAGGCAUAGGAUUCGAAGUAGUGAUGAUAGCAAUAACAAUAAUCUUAAUGACAAGGGGGUUAGAUAUCCACUGCAUCUUGGAGGUGUCUUGCGCUCAAGCCACAGCAAGGUUGGUACUGGGUAGUGCCUAUCGUCCAAUUGAAAAAAAGGAAGGUAAAAUAAUAAUGAUAUUGAUAAUGUGAGUACUUCAAUACUAAUAAGUCUAAUAAUGACCAUUAUAACAUGGCAUAACUACCAUAUAACUUAUUAAAAAAGAAAAAAAAAAGGAAAACAUGACCGUGAUUCCUAAAUGACUACGUUUAAACUCAAAAGUGACUGUUGAGAAUCACAAUUUGAAAUCUCUGUUUAAGAGUAAAAUAGAGGUUCUCUUACUCAUUAGUGUCAAAGCUAGAAAGUGUCUGCUUAGCAUGUGAUUUGGAUGCAAUUGUAUUUUAAAAGUGGUUUUUUCUUGAUUGAUUGGCUUGUGCAUUAAUGAUCAGUCAAGCAUUUGAACUUAAUAUAGCCUACUAGUGAUUAAAGAUUUUUUUAAAACAGUGUUUAUGAACUCAGUAGGAUAAAUACUGUUUUUUCUGUGUAUGAAGUCAUUUGAACCAUUUCCGCUAAAGUGUGAAAAUGAUUAAAGGAGACAAGAUUGAUGCUUAGUUGGUGGGAACCAUCUUAUGAGAAGAGCGGGGUUGGGGUGGGGGGCGUGUGUUUGUGGGUUGUCCUCCUACUCUGAUUUAGUCAAAGUGCUCAUAACCGGCUCAUCCUAAAGUUGUAAUGUGGACUGAUUGUUUUAAGAUCGAAUGCUCCUAUUUAAUUUUUCCCCCUUCUACAAGUAUGGUUACAUUUGAUUUUGGCUGUCAGAGUCUUCGUUCAUAUAACAAAAUAUGAGGCUGUAACUGACGGUAGUAUAAACACUUGAUUGGCU